CCCGCCUCACGCCUAGUGUUCCCGAGAUCGGCCUUGGAUCCACCGGGACCCUAAGCGAGAUGAAGUUCCUGUGGAGGCUGUUCUAGACACACGUUUGAGUUGAAAAUCCAGCUUCAAGACGGAGAAGAAGAAAAAAAAAGGAGUGUAGCAAGGUAAGCAGUAUUUGGAGUAAUGAGUCCCUGAACAAAGGAUGGGUCGAUAUCAGAAGGAACAGUCAGUAUCUGGUGUUGCCUCCAGCUGCUUUAAGUCCUGCAGUGUAUAUCAUCCUCAUGGACUGCACCAGAUUGGUCAGUUCUUGCUGUGAGAUGCUCCCUCAC
ensembl:lncRNA